AGGUCCAGAGACAACAGGCUCCCCGGAAAUGGUGACUUCACAGGAAGACCCGCCUCAGACGAGGGGGCUUUGAAGUCUAACUCCCUGGGCUAAUACAGUGAGCAUCCCUCCUGGGCCAUGCCUGUGGGUCUUCUUCAUGCCAUCUCUGCCAUGCACACCAGACUCCUCUGCUGGGUAGUUUUCUGGCUCCUGCGGGCAGGUCCCAUGAAUGCUGGCGUCACCCAGAACCCAGAACACCUGGUCAGAGGGACAGGACAAGAAGCAACGCUGAGAUGCAGCCCAGAGAAAGAACACAAUCACGUUUACUGGUAUCAGCAGCUCCCGGGAGAAGGUCUGAAAUUCAUGGUUUACCUCCAGAAGGAAAAUAUCAUAGAUGACUCCGGAAUGCCGACAAAACGCUUUUCUGCUGAAUUUCCCAAAGAGGGACCCAGCGUCUUAAAGAUCCGGCUGGCAGAGUUGGGAGACUCUGCAGUGUACUUCUGUGCCAGCUCCUUACCCACAUCAAUGCAGAGUCCCAUCCUGUCAAUGCAGGAACACCCUCCAGGCGCCGCCCCAGAAACAGCCACGGGCUGGGGAAGGGAAGGGCACGUGUAGUUGGAUUAAUGAACAUAUUCGCUAGAAAGCAUUUUGCGGGGCGAGCAUGGAAACAGGGGAUGGUGGUGGAAGUAUCACGAGACAUCCCAGCCCAUGCUCAGGAACUAAGACUGUCACCAGAAAAAGGUAAAGAUUUUUAAAACCGGACA